rnacentral:misc_RNA from 1 species
AGCAGCCGCGGUAAUUCCAGCUCCAAUAGCGUAUAUUAAAGUUGUUGCAGUUAAAAGCUCGUAGUUGAACUUCGGGGUUUACUCAUUGGUCAGGCUUAAUUGUCUGUACUGGUGAGAUAAAUCUCUACCUUCUGAGGAACUUUCAUGCCAUUUAUUUGGUGUGAUUGGAAAUCAGGACUAUUACUUUGAAAAAUUGAGUGUUUAAAGCAGGCUAACGUCUGAAUAUAUUAGCAUGGAAUAAUGAAAUAGGACGGCUUGGUUCUAUUUCGUUGGUUUCUAGGAUCACCGUAAUGAUUAAUAGGGAUAGUUGGGGGCAUUAGUAUUCAAUUGUCAGAGGUGAAAUUCUUGGAUUUAUUGAAGACUAACUACUGCGAAAGCAUUUGC